GCUGUGAAGACGCUAGACUUAGACUGACUCAUGAUGAAGGGCCAAAGCUCAGAGC
rnacentral:ncRNA from 13 species